UUUAACGGCCGCGGUACUCUGACCGUGCGAAGGUAGCAUAAUCACUUGUUCUUUAAAUGGGGACUCGUAUCAACGGCAUCACGAGGGCCAUACUGUCUCCUUUUUCCAAUCAGUGAAACUGAUCUCCCCGUGAAGAAGCGGGGAUAAUCCUAUAAGACGAGAAGACCCCAUGGAGCUUUAAACCCAACAACAACUCUGAGUUACUAAACCACAAAAAUUAAUUGAGCCCUGUAAUUGUUGGUUUUAGGUUGGGGUGACCGCGGAGCAUAAAAUAACCUCCACGACGAACGGGACUAAACCCUUAUCCAUGAACUACCACUCUAAGAAUCAGCACUCUGACUUCUAAUGAUCCGAUUACUCGAUCAACGGACCAAGUUACCCUGGGGAUAACAGCGCCAUCCAUUUCGAGAGCUCCUAUCGACAAAUGGGUUUACGACCUCGAUGUUGGAUCAGGGUAUCCCAGUGGUGCAGCCGCUACUAAAGGUUUGUUUGUUCAACAAUUAAACCCUACGUGAUC
rnacentral:rRNA from 1 species